UACGGAGGGAGCUAGCGUUGUUCGGAAUCACUGGGCGUAAGCGCACGUUGGCGGGUGUGUCAGUCAGGGGUGAAAUCCCGGAGCUCAACUUCGGAACUGCCUUUGAUACAGCACGUCUUGAGUGCGAUAGAGGUGGGUGGAAUUCCUAGUGUAGAGGUGAAAUUCGUAGAUAUUAGGAAGAACACCGGUGGCGAAGGCGGCCCACUGGAUCGGUACUGACGCUGAGGUGCGAAAGCGUGGGGAGCAAACAGG
rnacentral:rRNA from 1 species